CUUUCUUAUUGUCCUCUUUACCAGCCAAGGGAUUAUAGAAACCAAGGACUUGAAGAAUCUUGCCAUCUCUAGGUGAUUUGCUAUCAGCAGCAACGAUCCUGUAAAAUGGUCUGUUCCUGCAUCCGCAUCUCUCCAAUCGUAUCUUCACUGCCAUUUGCUCUUUUGAUUCAGCAAACUUCCCUCAGAGAUUAACAGCAGGAAGGUGAGCUUACUUAGUCGAGGGUUUUAGGCUUCGGGGUUUUGGCGUUAACGCUUUG
rnacentral:misc_RNA from 1 species